GUUCCCCUUCGGGGGACAGGGUGACAGGUGGUGCAUGGUUGUCGUCAGCUCGUGUCGUGAGAUGUUGGGUUAAGUCCCGCAACGAGCGCAACCCUCGACCUUAGUUGCCAGCAUUCAGUUGGGCACUCUAAGGUGACUGCCGGCUAAAAGUCGGAGGAAGGUGGGAUGACGUCAAAUCAUCAUGCCCCUUAUGACCUGGGCUACACACGUGCUACAAUGGGCGGUACAAAGGGUCGCGAACCCGCGAGGGGGAGCCAAUCCCAAAAAGCCGCUCUCAGUUCAGAUUGCAGGCUGCAACUCGCCUGCAUGAAGCCGGAAUCGCUAGUAAUCGCGGAUCAGCAUGCCGCGGUGAAUACGUUCCCGGGCCUUGU
rnacentral:rRNA from 1 species